UCAGGCCUAACACAUGCAAGUCGAACGGUAGAGGGGCAACCCUAAAAAGUGGCGAACGGGUGAGUAAUGCAUCGGAACGUGCCCAGUCGUGGGGGAUAACUAUCCGAAAGGAUAGCUAAUACCGCAUACGAUCUGUGGAUGAAAGCGGGGGACCGGAAGGCCUCGCGCGAUUGGAGCGGCCGAUGUCAGAUUAGGUAGUUGGUGGGGUGAAGGCCUACCAAGCCGACGAUCUGUAACUGGUCUGAGAGGACGACCAGUCACACUGGGAGGGAGGCACGGCCCAGACUCCUGCGGGAGGCAGCAGUGGGGAAUUUUGGA
rnacentral:rRNA from 1 species